rnacentral:pre_miRNA from 1 species
GCCCGGAAACCUCUGGGUUCUGAGCUGUGACGUGGCUUCUGAGCUGGGAUCUCGGGGGUCUUGGUUCAUGGUUU